AGCGAACGCUGGCGGCAGGCUUAACACAUGCAAGUCGAACGGACCCUUCGGGGUUAGUGGCGGACGGGUGAGUAACACGUGGGAAUGUGCCCUUAGGUUCGGAACAACACAGGGAAACUUGUGCUAAUACCGGAUGUGCCCUUCGGGGGAAGAUUUAUUGCCUUUGGAGCAGCCCGCGUCUGAUUAGCUAGUUGGUGAGGUAAAGGCUCACCAAGGCUUCGAUCAGUAGCUGGUCUGAGAGGAUGAUCAGCCACACUGGGACUGAGACACGGCCCAGACUCCUACGGGAGGCAGCAGUGGGGAAUCUUGCGCAAUGGGCGAAAGCCUGACGCAGCCAUGCCGCGUGAAUGAUGAAGGUCUUAGGAUUGUAAAAUUCUUUCAGUGGGGACGAUAAUGACGGUACCCACAGAAGAA
rnacentral:rRNA from 1 species